UAUAUAAGCAGGAGCGGACGUAACGAAAACAUAUUUGUCUCGACUGCAGACCACGGCACUUGUGUCAAUUAGUCUUGUAUCGCCACUUGCCUGCAAGCUCCGAGAACGCCACGAUGAAGACAACGGUGCUCGUACUGGCUAUCGUUCUUCUCUCAGCAGUGAUGCUGACGGAGGGGACACCCGCUGGUAAACCUCCAGGCAGAGGGGCCUCGCGGGGCAAGAAAUGUGGGAACUACUACUGCAAAGCAGACGAGACCUGCGAGCCAUCGUUUGUGGGGCCUGCAUGUACCUCUAAAUUUCAAUACAAGUGAAAGCCCAAUGGAUGAACACCAACGAGAUCAACCUGCUUGCCUGCUCAAUAAAGUCACUUUCGCUCACCAA